rnacentral:lncRNA from 1 species
GAGUUCCAGGAGCAUGAGGGAACACCUACCUUGUCAUGAAGGUGAAUUAUGACCUCAGGGUUCAGAUCUCAGCUCGACUGGAGACCAGCCUGCAAUUCCCUACACUCUGCCCUCUGAGCAUAAGAGUUACAGGUCUAUAUUGUCCUGGCUGGCUUUUACCGUGGGUGCUUGAGAUCUAAACUCAGAUCCUCCUGUUUGCAUGGUUGUGAGCUUUGCCUGUGACUCCAGAAACUUAUGUAUCUUCUGACUUUAAUCUGAGCAUUUGGGAGACAGGGGAAGGCUGCUUCCCCCUAAGACAGGGUUCGAGACCUCAGCAUUGGACAUGAGCAAGAUAAAGUUUUUGUAGUUCAUGGAUAGGGAACUUCUAAAUGUGGGAUUUGGCAUGCAAAUAAUUCAGGCCGCAGAAGCAAAACAACCAAAACAGGUUGAAAGUUAGAGCUGCACAGUUCCUGCUGAGAUAAGAAUGGCUAAGUGCAGUUUCUGGCCGAAGAGGAACACAGAAGUCAGGAGAGUUGCAGUUUGUUCUCAAGUGGGUUCCCCAGCAGUUGGAGAUGGGAGAAGAUGCUAAAAGAGAGGCGGUCCUAUCAGAUCAACCAAGAUAUUUGGAAGUAGGAAAAUAUUCAGGUGUGAACCACUCCACAGCAAUUUCCCA